rnacentral:lncRNA from 1 species
GGUUAUUCUGUGAAGAUAUUUAAAGAAAAGCUUAAAAGAUUGAGAAGUCAUGAUGGUGAUUUCAGAUUUUAGACUGUCUCUGAUUUGAUUUCACUGCCACAUGUGUUCUAGUAUAUAUAUGAGUUUCUAGCAUAUACAUUUGUUUUGUAUUGUAGAUGCUCUAGUAAUAUCUUUUAUGGUUGAUUCUGUGGCAGUUUGAUAAUAUUGGUUCUAUAGCGAAUUGCUACUCGGUCAUAAAGUGAUAAUGAGAUAAUUUUGUCAUCGUCAAAGACAACAUGAAUCUUAGGUAGUUUUGUGAAAAUGGAAUUGGAAACUAGAAGUUUGUGUACGUAUGAAAUCGUUAGUCAAUUUUUAACAUAUCAAAGGUAAAUGCCUCAAGUGAUAGUUUUUGCCUCGUUUUUUAUCACUGUUCUGCUGUUUUUCUUGGACUGGUGCGGCUCUCUGUGGUUUUUGGAGUGGGGGCAGGUGUUUUCUCUGUUCCAGGGAGCGGCUGUUAGGAGUUUUAGAAGUUGGCUUCUGUUGUGUUCCUGCUCUCAUAAUCUCUUGUGCCAAAAGUGCUUAAAUAACCAUUUAUCUGAAUAUGUUGGUAUUGUCUUCCAGAUUUGUCUGCGAUCUUACCUUCCAAUCCCGUUCAAACUACUCUUUGUAUUCCUUCUGUACUGGUAAAAUUCGCUAGUUGAAAUGGUAAUACAUUCUCAAAUUUAAGAAAUACAUUGUGAUGUAUGUUGCAAUGGCAUUGUCAGUCAUGUUGCUUCAGAUGUACGUUUUCAAUUCUGCUAUAGUGUUUGGAAAUAUUUCUAAAACUAAGCAUGGUAGUUCUGUUAUAAUGAAAAUUUGGGACUGUUUCACUCUCUUUUGGUCGUCACUUGCUGUUUGAAAUAAGUGUUUGUGCGAAAUUCUAUGACCAUGCAAGACUUUCUCAUGGUUCAUCACUUUUUAAGUAUCCUUCAAUGAUGGUGUUUUUGUCUGUCAAGUAGUGUUAUUU